rnacentral:rRNA from 1 species
UACAGAGGGUGCAAGCGUUGUCCGGAAUCACUGGGCGUAAAGGGCGCGUAGGCGGCCCGAUAAGUAGGGGGUGAAAUCUUGCGGCUCAACCGCAAGGCUGCCUUCUAGACUGUCGGGCUUGAGCACAGUAGAGGCAGGUGGAAUUCCCGGUGUAGCGGUGGAAUGCGUAGAGAUCGGGAAGAACAUCGGUGGCGAAGGCGGCCUGCUGGACCAUAACUGACACUCAGGGACGAAAGCUAGGGGAGCGAAUGGG